rnacentral:rRNA from 1 species
UACGGAGGGUGCGAGCGUUGUCCGGAAUCACUGGGCGUAAAGGGUGCGUAGGCGGGUUUUUAAGUCAGGGGUGAAAUCCUGGAGCUCAACUCCAGAACUGCCUUUGAUACUGAAGAUCUUGAGUCCGGGAGAGGUGAGUGGAACUGCGAGUGUAGAGGUGAAAUUCGUAGAUAUUCGCAAGAACACCAGUGGCGAAGGCGGCCCCCUGGGCCGGCCCUGACACUGAGACGCGAAGGCGUGGGGAGCGAACGGG